UCUCCCGCUUCUCCUCCCUGAGCGGGUGCCUUAACUCUAGUUAAGGCGUUUCGCCCCCGGUUUAUUUCCCCUUUACCGGGGGUCUUUUAU
rnacentral:ncRNA from 1 species